rnacentral:rRNA from 1 species
AUUGAACGCUGGCGGCAUGCUUUACACAUGCCAGUCGAACGGCAGCGCGGGCUUCGGCCUGGCGGCGAGUGGCGAACGGGUGAGUAAUACAUCGGAACGUGCCCAGUAGUGGGGGAUAGCUCGGCGAAAGCCGGAUUAAUACCGCAUACGACCUGAGGGUGAAAGCGGGGGAUCUUCGGACCUCGCGCUAUUGGAGCGGCCGAUGGCAGAUUAGCUAGUUGGUGGGGUAAAGGCCUACCAAGGUGACGAUCUGUAGCUGGUCUGAGAGGACGACCAGCCACACUGGGACUGAGACACGGCCCAGACUCCUACGGGAGGCAGCAGUGGGGAAUUUUGGACAAUGGGCGAAAGCCUGAUCCAGCAAUGCCGCGUGUGUGAUGAAGGCCUUCGGGUUGUAAAGCACUUUUGGCGGGAACGAAAAGGACUGUGCCAAUACCACGGUUCGAUGACGGUACCCGCAGAAUAAGCACCGGCUAACUACGUG